rnacentral:rRNA from 3 species
UACGAAGGGGGCUAGCGUUGUUCGGAUUUACUGGGCGUAAAGCGCACGUAGGCGGAUUGUUAAGUGAGGGGUGAAAUCCCAGGGCUCAACCCUGGAACUGCCUUUCAUACUGGCAAUCUUGAGUCCGGAAGAGGUGAGUGGAACUCCUAGUGUAGAGGUGGAAUUCGUAGAUAUUAGGAAGAACACCAGUGGCGAAGGCGGCUCACUGGUCCGGUACUGACGCUGAGGUGCGAAAGCGUGGGGAGCAAACAGG